rnacentral:misc_RNA from 1 species
UUAAGUUCAGCGGGUAGUCUUGCUUGAUUUGAGAUCGAGUUUACAAAAUGGGUUUUUGACGUCCACUCUGUGAAUCCUGCAUCAGUCAGCCAUAUGGAAAUACAACCUUAGAGUAGCUUUAGCAAAAUGAAUAAUCUGUUUUACGAGACUAAAUAGAUAUGCUUAUAGCUCAGUUGUAAGUCCAGCUGCACCUGCAUUUC